rnacentral:rRNA from 1 species
UACGUAGGGUGCAAGCGUUAAUCGGAAUACUGGGCGUAAAGCGUGCGCAGGCGGUUAUGCAAGACAGAUGUGAAAUCCCCGGGCUUAACCUGGGAACUGCAUUUGUGACUGCAUAGCUAGAGUGCGGCAGAGGGGGAUGGAAUUCCGCGUGUAGCAGUGAAAUGCGUAGAUAUGCGGAGGAACACCGAUGGCGAAGGCAAUCCCCUCGGGCCUGCACUGACGCUCAUGCACG